rnacentral:rRNA from 1 species
GCUAUAUUCUCUGACUUUUGUGAAAGGAUUUGUGAGGUAUUCAUGGAUGACUUCUCCGUUUAUGCAUCCUCUUUUGAUGAUUGCUUGAUCAACCUCGAUCGAGUUUUGCAGAGAUGCGGAGACACUAGUCUUGUCUUGAAUUGGGAAAAGUGCCACUUUAUGGUUAAUGAAGGCAUUGUCUUGGGGCAUAAAAUUUCAAGAGGUAUUAAAGUUGAUAAAGCUAAAGUUGAUGCUAUUGAAAAGAUGACAUGUCCCAAGGACAAUAAAGGUAUAAGAAGUUUCCUUGGUCAUGUCGGUUUGUAA